CGAGACCCCCUCUCCAUCCUUUUCCAGGUCCGGUGGGGGCGGGAUUUUAAGGUAAAAACAGCAAUUACUUUUGCACCAACUUAUCUUCUAAGUUUCGCUCCCUACCACCUGAGUGUGUUUGGAGGCUCUGGCUCAUUGUACCUGCCUGAUCACCACGUGCAAGUAGCUGGGCCAGAAGGACCUCGGCACGUUACGGAAUAUUUACUACAGGAACAGGAUUGUUUUUUUCUCACCAAUGCUUAUUUAUAUAAAAG
rnacentral:lncRNA from 1 species